rnacentral:rRNA from 1 species
AUACGUAGGGGGCGAGCGUUAUCCGGAAUUAUUGGGCGUAAAGAGUACGUGGGUGGUUGCGUAAGCGCAAGGUGAAAGACCGAGGCUUAACUUCGGUGAGCCUUGUGAACUGCGUGACUUGAGUGCAGGAGGGGAAAGUGGAAUUCCUAGUGUAGCGGUGAAAUGCGUAGAUAUUAGGAGGAACACCAGUGGCGAAGGCGACUUUCUGGCCUGUAACUGACACUGAGGUACGAAAGCGUGGGGAGCAAACAGGAUUAGAUACCCUGGUAGUCCACGCCGUAAACGAUGAGCACUAGGUGUUGGCGUAGAAAUACGUCGGUGCCGAAGUUAACGCAUUAAGUGCUCCGCCUGGGGAGUACGCACGCAAGUGUGAAACUCAAAGGAAUUGACGGGG